rnacentral:rRNA from 1 species
AGCAGUCGCCGCGGGAAUACGUAGGGUGCGAGCGUUAAUCGGAAUUACUGGGCGUAAAGCGUGCGCAGGCGGUUUUGUAAGACAGGCGUGAAAUCCCCGGGCUCAACCUGGGAAUGGCGCUUGUGACUGCAAAGCUAGAGUGCGGCAGAGGGGGAUGGAAUUCCGCGUGUAGCAGUGAAAUGCGUAGAUAUGCGGAGGAACACCGAUGGCGAAGGCAAUCCCCUGGGCCUGCACUGACGCUCAUGCACGAAAGCGUGGGGAGCAAACAGGAUUAGAUACCCCCGUAGUCCCUGUCUCUUAUAA